rnacentral:tRNA from 1 species
GCCCCCAUAGCUCAAUGGAUAGAGUGUGGGCUUCCGAAGCCUGAGAUGUAGGUUCGAUUCCUACUGGGGGCA